rnacentral:lncRNA from 1 species
CAGGCAUCCUCCGCGGCGGGCCGGACCGGGCCGGCGGAGGGGAGCGGAAGCCCACCGGGGCUGGCCCGCCGCUGACCCGCCGCCUCCGUCUGCCUCCUCCCGGGCUCUGGGCCCAGCGCGCCCAGAUGCCGGGCAGGACCCCUCCGCCCGCUGCUGGAACACCAAUAGCAGCGUUGGAGCCUCUGGGCCGGAGGAACUGGGGCCUCCACCGACACCUGCUUCUUCCCUCACCUCGCAGCCUUCCACACCUGUUGAUCUGACCUCUGCCCCGCUGCCGCCCAGGAGUAACCUAAGGCUUUUGGCCUGAUUCGAGCUCACUCCGUCUAAACCUCUAAAUGCGGUGCGAAAAAAUCCUGGGGAAUGUGCCAUGCAAAGCCUGGGCAUUUCAAGUGCUUUUCUGGAUUCGCAUCAACUCCUCUUUACAGGCAUCUUUAUCCGGAAUUCAGCUCGUCCCAAACCCCACGUGGUGUAGCUCUGCUUGUGUUUUUGAAUCCCGGGGCCUCUUUGAAUCAGAAGCCCUUUGUAUAGAGAUAAGUAUCCUUUAGGCCAGAAUCAGCCUCCAUUUUUUUCGCAGUCCCAUUUCCUACCCGUAAUACUUUCUUCUGAUUUUAAAGCCAUUUGAUAGAGAAGGGACAGGGAACAGAACCUUCGCCCCCCGCCUGAGCAGCUGGUAGACUAGAUAUCUUCCAAACAUUAUCUCAUUUACUUCCCUGGAGUUACAAAUAGGUAGAUUUCAUGUCCGUUGAGGGGUGAGAAAGCUGAAACUUUGAGACUUAAGAAUCCUGGCCGAGGUCAGCCUCCUCCGAAGCUUCAUCUCUUGCCACCACUUUCUGGUGCACACCUAGGACAGAUUUCAAUCCCUGAGAUCCCAGGAUGAAACCUAUGUUUGCCAAAUACCAGCUACUGUGCCAGAAGAGAUCAUGGAACCAGGUGUGGAAAGCUGCUUGAGAAGAGGAGCCAAAACAUCAUAGUUGAACCGUCCUGGAAUAGAAACUCGCCCUGAAUUCUUUCUUGUGUGAAAUCCAAGAGCCCUCUCUUGGGGUUGGAUCGGGACCCUGUUCCUGUAACAAGUCCACAAUGCCAGAGAAUUAAAGAGAACCACAAAGUUUCUGCCAUUUCAGUUCCUGUUAUCGUGCUUUGAGGUGCACUGAACUGCAGCAAACCCAGGGGAUCCAAGGCUACGUUGAAAAGCCUUUGACCACAGUGCAGGGAGCAGAAGACAUUAAUGACGUGAUGUCGACACAGCCCGCACUCAGGAUCCUCCAGGAAAAGAACACAGAGAUAACCCCGGAUCGAUGGUACUUUUUGAAAAUGCUUUAUUGCAAAAGAGUGGCUAGGGUUUUACAAGGGCUAUGAAGAAACAUAUUAAGGUUAAUAAAGCUUUUUAUUGAGUGUUUACUGAGUGUUACUAUGUGCUUUACAUCUAUUAACUCAUUUCAUCUUCAAAACAACCCUAUAAAGAUGUUACAACUAUAAUCCUAACCUUACAAAUGAAACAACUGAGGCACAGUGAAGUGCAGUGGCCUGCCCAGGUAAAAAGCAAGACAGAAUUUGAACCCAGGCAGCCUGACCCCAGGGUCCAGGUAUUAAACCAUUCUGCUAUAGUGCCUCUAAGAUAACAGAGAAACUUGAUGAAUUACUGGGUUACUGAAUUUUAGUUUACAUAGGUUGUUUUUUUCCCCUUAAGAGUAGAACAAAACAUACCUGAAGUAUGGAAAAUAACAUUUAUU